rnacentral:rRNA from 1 species
UGGGGAAUAUUGCACAAUGGGCGCAAGCCUGAUGCAGCCAUGCCGCGUGUGUGAAGAAGGCCUUCGGGUUGUAAAGCACUUUCAGCGGGGAGGAAUGCGGUGAGGUUAAUAACCUCACCGAUUGACGUUACCCGCAGCAGAAGCCCCGGCUAACUCCGUGCCAGCAGCCGCGGUAAUACGGAGGGUGCAAGCGUUAAUCGGAAUUACUGGGCGUAAAGCGCACGCAGGCGGUCUGUCAAGUCGGAUGUGAAAUCACCGGGCUCAACCUGGGAACUGCAUUCGAAACAGGCAGGCUAGAGUCAUGUAGAGGGGGGUAGAAUUCCAGGUGUAGCGAUGAAAUGCGUAGAGAUCUGGAGGAAGACCAGUGGAGAAGGCGGCCCCCUGGACAAGGACUGACGCUCAGGUGCGAAAGCGUGGGGAGCAAACAGG